AUAAACAUUGAUGUGGCACUUUAUACAUUCUUGACCCAUGUUGGCCCAAGAGUUCCCACUCAUCCACUUCCUUUUGCAUUUAGGGCACUUGUAUUCCCCAAAACAUCUCUUCUUCCCUUGGUAGGGGGUCAAUCCUUCCCCCUUUGGCCGGGCCUACAAGUACCAAGAAAGAAUACAAAUUCAUGACAGAGAUUCUGCAGUACUGAAGGCAAACACAGUAAAAGAAAAAACUGUUUCUUUGGAGAAAGCUCUUUCCAUUCCAGCCAAGUUGCCUCCCUCCAGCUGUGCUCCCAGAGGACCAUAAAGGAGGCCCAGGACUGAGAAAGGACCAAUCAGAGAAGACUCUCCUCUACAGGACAAAUACCUCAGGCCCUCAGUCAUCCCUCCCAGCUGGCCCCCACCCACCAAUCAGGGAACAGAGAAGUAGAAGGGGGGGGGGAGGAAAUCAAACCCAGAUGAACUCUACACUUGUAUAACAUAAGAAACCCCUAAACCCAUCAUAUAGACAUCAUUUAAAUAUGUUUUCAAUUAAGAGCACCUUGGCUGGAAACUGGGCCAAGCCAUUGCUAAGGACUGCUAGAACGAAUGCAUUGUAACACCCCCUAAAUUGUAUACGGUUUAACUGUAUAGAGUUGAAUGUCUGUACUUGGAUAUGUGCACUCACUGAACUGCUUAGAAUUAAGUGACAGACAGUAGGUCAACAAUUUCAUGACUAACCUUAUUAGCACAGGAUAAUAGGUCUUAAAUUGUAGUACUUUGAUGAAAUUAACCUUUGUGAUGUUCCAGUCUCAUUAAGGGCAUGCUGUUCCAGUGUUUGGCCAUGAUGAGGCGCUACAUGAAGUUGGAAUGUGGUGUGCACGCACACAAAACUCGACACGAGAACGUACAUACAGUGUAGAUUGUAUUGAUGUUAUUAAAUGGCGGUCAUAUUGGUAAUACCUGAAACCCAUAGGGAUACAUUUAUAAGCGUGUGUCGUUUGGAAAAAAAAGUGAGGGACUAGCGAAAAGGAAUGGAACGCAGUCCGAGAAGACCUUCUCGGUUUUGUUUUAUUAAAAGACUGAUAAUGAACAGUAUAUGGAAUAGUUAUGAGAAUAUAUAUAUCAUAUUACUUCAGAAACACGAUACAUCUGUGAUUUUUCCAGUGAGAAGCAUUACUACAUAGCUCCUGUGGCUCCUGCUGGCCAGUAAUUCCUUUCUUUGCAAUAACCCUGAUUUAAGACCCUUCCAAGAUGGCAGCUGUUUGGUUACAUUCUACAGGCAUGUAUAACUAUCCCAAAAGCCAGUCUAUGGUGUAUAUUUUCCAAUCCACAUCUGUGAUCUGACCACUCUCUCCUCAGCCCACUUCCAGAGAGGAUGAACAGGCCGAGAAUCGUCUUCCUGCUGGAGGAAGCAGCUUUCACUAUGCAGAGCAAUCAAAACAAACUGGGUUACAUACAGGGUGCCAAAGGGCAUGGCACACUUCUAACUUUCCACCGGUCCAAACAAAGCAUUGGCAUUGAGAGCUGAGUACAAUGGACAAGACACAAAGAUCU